rnacentral:lncRNA from 1 species
CGGUCUCCCAAAAUGAGAAAAUAGAACAAGACGAAUGAGACUGAAUCUAGAUAACAAAAGUCAGAAGUGACUAUUGGGGAGUCUUUAAUGUCAAUAUGUGAUGUUGGGCCUUACAAUAUAGACGUGUAUUAAUUAUACAACUUAGAUACAUAAAUAAGAGAGAUUAAAGAGGUGACUAAAGCCAUCCGACCACCACUAUUGUAUAGAAUAUUUUUAUUUUAAAAUAUUCGUAUAAAGUAGCACUCCAUAUAGUCUAAUUUUAGCUUGUCCUAAAGUAAAUGAGCUUUAACCAUAUACUUGUAUAACGUAAAAAUUUUAUAUACACUCAUAGGAUUAGAGGAACUUUUAAAUUUUAUUUAGUUUCUCUUGUUAUUCUAACUCUUAUUUAGAAUUUUAAAACAAUUUAAUAUUUUUAUUAAAUAUAAAAUAUUAAAAUUCUAAAUGCUUACGUCCGAACGCCUAGCCUCAUAAGGAGAAAACCCCUCGCCUUGCACAAUUGCCUUUAAAAACAUUGAUUGGUAGUGGUGGGGUGUGGCGGAGAUGGAUAUGAGUGUUGGUGUUGGUAGAGGAAGUGGUGGAGAGAGAGACAAAAGUAUAUUUAUUUUUUAUUUGUUACUUUAUGCGUAAACAUGUUAGGGCUUUAUUGGUCAUUUCACUUCACUUGCUUUUUAAACUCUGUUAAGUGGUAAGGAGAAUCUGAGAGUUAGACUAUAUUUGAUCAAAAUCUCAGGGUGCAAUUUGUAAUUUAAGUUGGUGGAGUAGGUGAGGCUAGGUGGGUAAUGAUUAUGUGUCAUCAAUUUAUUAGUUAGUUAUCUAGUGCAAAGUUUAUAUACGUUCACUAGCUAAGUAUUAUAUAGCAAACUAAAUUGGGUUCCAUACUUUUCAUGGUAAUACUAGACCUGUUACCGUCAAAGCCCCCAUCGUUUGGCAAAUUUUUCCUGAUUUAUAUUCAUUCUCUGAUUUCUUUGGCAAGAAUCGAAUACCAUUGGAUACGUUAUCCGAUUUCUCUACAAGAUCGAAUGCGAUCGGAUCCGGAGAACAUGACGUGAGGAGUCUUAUUUCUUUCUUUGUCUUGUUUUAUGUAUAAUAAUGACUUGAUAUCGAUGUGGAUCUACUCUUUUUUCACUAAUUAAACAAUUUGUUCCAUCAGGUUGCUUACAAAAUCACUUACGACUUCAAAUUUGGGAUCCUUUGUGUCUUGAAUUGAUUCAAUUAUAAAUAAGGUGGGUGAUUAAAAAAAUGAAGUCAUACUAAAUUUUCUAUAUUUUUAUUUAUCUUUGUAGUUUCUAGCCUUAGUGUUUUUUUUUUCUAGCUAUUUAUGCCUUCAUGAAGUGUCUUAGUUUUAGAGAUGUUUCAAUUUGCUAUCUAUUCUAGUUUUUUUCGUUCAGGUGAGUAGAGUAACUAAAGUAUUUUAAAAACAAUUAAUUAAUUUUCUUAUUAUUGACCCCGGGAUACAUCCUUUCAUACUCCAAAGCAUAUGAAACCGCUUGAACGUGGGGCAAAAUCUAAACUGUUGUUGUUUGAAUCCUGAAGUGCAUGAAAAUAAGAUAAUCUAAAUUCGAGGGCCAAAGAGUUUUAUAAAAUGGUGUAAAAAAACGUGAACGAAAGGUCCUACUAAAUCUAACUGAAAUUGGAUCCAUGAAUCUAACAAAAAGUAAAAAUUCUUGAUCUCUUUCAAUUUUAAAAUCCAAAUGUGCAAUCGCUGUCCCUUCAUAUUCCUUCCUCCUAAAUUUAAAAAAAAAUAAAAAUGAAUUGGCAUUGAUUUAUGCUACAGAUUUUAUUCAAUUGAAAUUUGUUAUUCACAGGUCAGAGAUUAUGUCUUGUGUUUGUUUUUUUAAUAUUUUUUAAAUGCUGUCUAAAUUUGUUUCAUUUUUGUUCAAGGUGACUAGGGCCAACGAGAAAGUUGACUAAAAGUCAUCGUCUUUAAACCUUUUGUCUCAUAAAGUUUUUAAUUCACUAUUUUUUUAACAUUUUCAUUCAACUUAUCUGGAUCUCAAUAUUCUGUCACAACUAUAACCAAGAACUAAGAAGAUCAUUAACUGCUCAGGUGCUUCAUAAUUAUUCAGAAGUCCUGCCCGAAAUCCUAGUUUUGCAAGCCUUCAUAUUUAUUAUCCUCACUACUUUCUGCAAGAUACCAUUGGAAAAUUCUAUGUGUUUUUUUUCUUGUUAUAUUUUGUGUUAUCUUUUUAGCUCAUCAAAAUAAUGUUACUUUGUUGUGUGAUGUCUUCAAGGACUUCCAUUUACAAGGUGGGAUGUAUUAAAAGGAAAAGUAAAACAAAAAAUUGAUAAGAAAUUAAAAAGAAUUCACGAGAAGCAACAAGACACCAAGGUGCAAAACCAACGCAAAGGUCGACUCAAAGUUGGACAAUUUGCCCUCUUAAUGGACACUGUCCAUCCCAUUUGGUUUGAACAUUUUUUUUGGGAUGUAUUAAAAUAUUUGUUCAUUUUUAAAAGUUAAUAACGAGAAAAAUAUUGUAGAUGUUUUUUUUACUAUUUCAGUUUUAAGUUGAUGUGAUAAUUAUACUUUUCACUUGUAGGUAAUUUUAUAUUGAUGAGGAGUAAUUUUAAAAAGUUUAAAAUAUCUAAAAUUUAGUUUUGUAACUCCUUUACAAAUUAAAUUCUCGAAAAGGGGACAAAUAAAAUUAGUUUUGUAUUGGUAGGGGUAUAAAGUAUGUAUAAUAGUCGUGGUAAUCAAAGUCCGGUGCGGUUCUGGUUAAAGUCUACUAACUGCCAAAACGUUGCACUUGAUACACAAUCUUAGGAGUUGUGCAGAGUCGGUUCGGGGUCAGUUCUUAGAACGACCAGAACUGACUCGAUCUUGAUUCAGUUCUCUCUUUUUGACCCAGAGAAUCGAACGACCGAUCGUCCAAAAAAACCUAACCGAACCAACCCGAGUGAGAUCGAUUCUGAUUUCUUCCUUUUUGGUUCUUCGGUUCGGCUCUUUCUCAAAAUAAGCCAUCAUAGCAAUAAUAGUGUAUGAUGAGUGUGCUGUAUUAUUAUAUGAUCGGGUCUAGCCUUUGGUUCCUUAUUCGAUUUCGGUUUGGUUUGGUUUGGUUUGGUUCGGUUCUGAGUAAAAGAUUUUUACAGACUUGAGAACCGAACCGAACCGGACAGGUCUAUAAUUUUCAGACCCAGAACCGAACCAUGAGCAUGAUAGAACAAAACCAAACUGACCUGAUGAGGUUGGAUUGAUUCGGUUUUUCAAGUAUUUGGUGCACCCUUCACAAAUCAACAUUUUAAUGCAACUUUAACAUAUUUCUUAAAUGUUUUAAUAAACUUAACUAUCACAUGAGACGGGCACAGUCGGGGUAUUUUGCAAGAUCUCCACAAAUUAGACCAAACUGCACUUCCCACUACAUGACUUGAACCCACCCCACCCAAAACCCGAAAAUUAAUUUUUUAAAAAUCUUUCAAACCAAAAAUGUACUAAAAUAAAGGCCCAAACAGUAUAAGUUAUAAAAUCAACUUCUUAUCUUCAUCCAAACAACAAAUAAGCAUUAAUUAAAUAAAAAGUUAUUUAACUUUCAUUAAAAAUAUUUUUUUUGAGAGAGAAACAACAUCACUAACAAACAUAUAUCAAUAUAUAUAUAUAUUAUAUUAUAAAUAAUUCACAUUAGUGUGUGUAUAUAUUUAAAUAAUUUAAUAAUUUAAAUACAUUUUUUUGGGUUCGGGUCUGGUCGGGUUAUGCUUUUUCGCUCUCGACCUGACCCCGUUGCGAGCCGGAAAAUUCUAACCCGACCGGCCUACCUUGACUAGUUGUGUUUUCGAGUUGAAAAAACCUACCCCAUAUGGGAUGGGGCGGGGCCCGGCUGGUCGGGUCAUAAUGACUAACCCUAAUCAUCUGCUAAACUGCGCACCUUAACAACAUUUUUCUCUCCAGGUCGAUGAUUAAUUAUUUAAGUGAUAUGAACAAUGUAUGUUGGUCAUUAGUCAGUAUUUCAAUUGUACCAAGUGAAUAAAUAUUUAUAUUUUUCCAAAUUAAGUUUUCAUAUGAUUCCAAUUAUACAUUAAUACUGAUGGUGCAUUAAUCUCAAAUUAAAACUAAACAUGAUUUCAUGAAUGAAAAGGUUGAAAAGAGAUCCAGCAUUGUUGUUUCGUCCCUAUCAAAGGAAACUCUCAAGUAGAGCCAAAGAAAAAAAGCACAUUAUUGACUUUUCCCAUGGGCUGAAGGUAAUUUUGUGGUUCUUGCUGGUUUUGCUUGGUUUUCAUUUAUUUUAAAUUUUGUAUUUCCAUGUUUAUGUAGGGUUGUAUCUAAAAUCUUCCAUUAAUAACUUUCAUAAGCUUUGGUGAAGAGUUCCAAAAAAUUAUAUUUAAAUAAAAUAAAUUAUAAAAAAAAGACAACUCUAUGUUGGGUUAACAUGUUGGUAUCUCAAUCUAUUUAAGAAAAUUUAAAACUUUAAUAAAAUUGCCUAGCCUAAGAACCGUGCAACAGAUGUUCUCUUUUGACUUGUCACUCCAAUAUGCAGCAACCACUCUGUUAGUUGUGAUAGUUAUGUUACUCGAUCUAAUUCUAAGAAAAUUCCACCAAUAGUAACAACCUUGUUUCAACCUCAAAGUUUUUCUUUGUUAAGUGGAGUACCAAGCAACAUGUAAGAGUCCCUUAUAAUGGGCAAGAAUAAAUUAUGGAUAAAAUACAAGUACAAGGACAUUGAACAAUUAUGUCAUCUUUUAUUUUUAUUUUCUUUUUAGAGAUGAAAAUGCAGUUUAGGGGUUGGAGUUGGUAUGAAUAAAAAAUGUUAAAACUCAUUUUUAACAUAAAAGAGUUAAAUGUGUCUCAAAAAUAGAGUUUUGAAGACUUUUGAGUUGGAGAUGCCCUUCAAGUUUUGAGUUAGGGUGGUUUGGGUUUCCGCUUGCGCGUGUGUGCGCACGCGCUCGCACGAGCACGCUGAUGAGGGUGAUUGUGGUGGUUGGUGGAAGGUGGUUUUCAACACUUCCAUGGUGAUUUGGGUGGGUGUGGUGGUGAUUUGGGUUUAGGUGCUGGGUCUUUGGUGGGCCUUGGCUUUCAGGGUGUGGGUUUAGAUUUUCUUUUAGGUUUUGUAGGUUCGGAUAUUUGAGUCAAUUAUGCCGUGUGUUCCAUAUGACGCCACUAAUAAAAUCUGUUCAACAAUUGGCCAAAAAUUAAUGAUUGAGGUUGAUGGCUAACACUCCUAUAAUUAAAAGGCGCAAUGUGCAAAAAUUAUUAAUUAGAGGGCCAAAUGGAAAUUGGUCAAUAAUUUAAGGAGUUAAAGUGUAGUUAACCCUAAACAAAAUGAAUAAAUGAGUUUUGUUAGCUAAAAAGCAAAAACUAGAGGGGGUUGAAAAAUAGGUUUGGGCUACUUUAAUGGGCAAAAUUAAAUUUACUUAACAAUAAUGUUACUAUGCACUCUAAUCAAAAUAUAAGCAAUAAUUGGAAGAGAGAAAUAGUGCAAAUAAUUUAUAGUGGUUCGGAGAAUUCUUGCCUACGUCCACUCUCCAUGUCCUCUUUGGGUAUCCACUAUCUUCAAGCUUGCGAGUGCUUGAAAAACCUUUACAACACUAGAGUGCCUCCAGUCUUCAAAAGAUUUCCUCUAUUGGAAUACAAUCACAAGAGAGCCUUUAGUCUUCAAGAGAAAGGCCUCUCUUGUAAGAUAAACAAUCACUCAAGGUGAUCCUCUCAAGAAUGAAGUAAGUGUCGUAGCAAUCAAAGCUCAUAACCUCUGUAAGAGAAAAAUAAACCACAGUUGCUAGCUCUCUCUAGAGUAAUUUUUUUCUUAUGAUCUUUACAAAUAUAGCUCACAAUCAAUGAUUAAGGAUUGAAAUAUUUUUCACAAGUGUGUAGAGAAUUUGUGGCACUUCAAUAUCUUUCCAACAACCCCAAGAGUUGCAUUUAUAAGCCAAAAAUGAGUUCUAACCGUUUUAGCAUUAAAUGCACUAAACUAGUCAUUUUGUUUUAAACUCAGCCAUAGGAUAUGUGAUUUUGAUGUGCAAGAUUAAAAUUCAAACUUCGUUCGUCAACUUCGAUCGUCCCCAAAUCUUUCUAAUCAACUUUUGGUCAUCAUCUCUAGGAGCUUCGAUUGACCCUUUAUAACUUCGAUCAUCCUUAAACUUUUUGAUCAAUUUUCGAUCAUUAGUUCCAAGAACUUCGGCCGAUCGAAUACUAGCUGUGGUUGUGCUCCAAACUCUAUGAUCAAACUUCGGUCGUGGUCUUUAAACUUCGGUCGUCAAGUUUUAGGGACUUUAGUCGAAUGAACUUGUGAUAUUUUUAGUAGUUUGACAGUUCUCUAUUUUCUUCAAAACAACAUAAUCCGUCAAUGAUCCGAAAUGAAUUUAUCCAAUUGUUUGAUACCUCUACAAGUUUCAUUAGCAUUAUAACAUUGAUUAUAACUUGUAAGAACUCAUGGUUUGUAAUUUGAAUGAUUAUUGACUCUUCUAUGCUUGAUUUUGAGUUUUUCUUUAAAAUGUGAGCUAGUCAAUUGAUUCUUUUUACAUCAAAAUCUCUUUUUCAAUAUUCAUGCUUAUAUGAGUUCAAACCAAGCUUGCAUGUCACUGUUUUAAGUUAAACGAAUGAUAGUUACACAUUUUGAACCAUAUGAAUUUGUUUGACUUUAUAUAAUGAUUUUCAAAAAGUAUUUAAACAUAUAUAAUGAUUUUCAAAAAGUAUUUAAAUAUAUAUAAGUUCAAUCAUUAAAAUCAAUUAUAGCCUUUAUUUUAACAAUCUCUCCCUUUUUUAUGAUAACAUAAUUUAGUUUUUAAAAAUUGACAUUCGUUUUGAAUUGACAUACUCCCCCUUAGUUUAAUCUCCCCCUAACUUCAUGUUUAUAAAAAAAUUCUCAAAUUUCAUGUCAUGACGUAGGUUUCAACUUUGAACAAAUGAGAUUCAUGGGAUAGAGUGUACCACAUCGGGUUUGUCGAGUCAUUUCCCAUUUUGUUCUUCAAUUUGCUAUAAGGAAUCCUCAAGUUAAUUCAAAGCAAUAGAUGCAUACUAUCAUAUACAACUAAUCCAUAUGAGAAUGAAAAUCAUUCAUAGACUUAAAAAGAAACAAAGAUAAGAUUAUCACAAAUUUCUAAGAUUAUCCAAAGCAUACUUAAAACUUAAAACGAAGUUUAGCAUACAACACAUAUAUCAAAAAGAAUCUAAUGCUAACUUCAAAACUAACUAACUAGCAAUCUUCUUUUCUUAACUAACUAGCAAUAGAAUCUAAUGCUAACUUACAAAAACUAACUAACUAGCAAUCUUCUUUUCUUAAUAAAAAUACAAGAGCAUUUAAUGCUAACUUACAAAAAACUAACUAACUAGACAAUCUUCUUUUCUUAAUAAAAAUACAAGAGCAUUUAAUGCUAACUUACAAAAACUAACUAACUAGCAAUCUUUUUUUCUUUUGCCCCUUUGGGGCAUCAUCACAACGAUAGGGGUGGAGGAGGAAAGGAGUGGAUGGAAGAGGAGAGGGCAGAGGAUUUGGCGAGAUCCAAUGGAAUUCCAUUUGAGUUUCAAGAGCAAUUGUUUGAUCAAGAUAUUGGUCAUGAAAGUCUAUUUGUUGUUGGUACAACUUCUCAUAGUUGUUUCCGAUCAACUCAAUAUAUGUUUCACAUGCAUUCUUGACAUAUGACACUAUAUUGUUUCAUUCGUAGCGUCAAAAUCCACAAAAUACUCCAAGAACUACGCAAGAGGCCUUUCUUGCAAUGGUUGACCUUCUUGUGAUGGAUUGCCGGCUUGUUGUUGAUGGCCUUCUUGAGGAUAAGCACUUGGAUCAGCAGGAAUGUCCUCGUCAUUAACAUAAGUGUCUAUAUCCAUUAAGGUGAUUGAUCAAUUAAGUGCCGACUCUUUUGACAUUUUUCAUAUGGUCCGGUAGCAAAAAUCUAUUCCUAAAAGUCUUUAUCAUAACGUGAAAAGACCUACAUCAAUGUGUUGGUAAAUGUUAAGUCCCUAAAAGUAACCUCAAAAAUUGCUCAAAGAUUAGAUUGAGGGCACAUAUAAAUGGUAGAGAAGUGAAUGCUUCUGGUUUCAAAGUCAGCACUCUAUAGAAUUAUGUAAUUUAGAUUUAGAGGAUCAUUGUUGUGCUUUACAGAGGAUAAAGUUGUCCAUAGUUGUAACGUGGUUGUAAUGCCCAUGUUUGGAAUUACAUUAUAGGUCAAUAAACUUGAAUAGUCAUAUUUGUUUCUUUUAAUCGUUGGUUUGAAGUGGACACCUAGCGAUCCAUUGAUUAAAAAGAUUUUUCAUUAAUUUCUACUCUAUCCACAUUAAUUCUUUCAAUUGCACUCAGUUAUUGGUGAUAGGUUUCCACCUUCAUUUGGAACACCAAUGAUUGUAUGACAAAAUAGGGGGUUUUUUUUUAAAAUUAUAUUCUUUCCUCAAAUCCAAGAAUCAAUGGUAAACUUGUCAUUUUUUAGAGUUCAUACUUCUAGAUUGCAAUAGAAUUAUCUUACCAAGUUCGAGUAUACGCUCGUUGGAAGAGGUGUCAGUGCGCUCCACCCUCGUGCUUCCACCGGUUCCAUAAUCUUAUGCCGGUAUUUUGGCAAAAACCCGUCUUCAAUAUUUCUUCCCGUGAUGAUAUUUCUAUUUGAGAACUCAAGCCAAGUGUUUUGAAUCUCUUCGUUUUAAAGAAUCGUCGUUUUAAUGACCGAUGAUUGCUUGGACAGCCCUUUGGAUCAUUAAUGCAUGCUAUGUUCUUGGGUUUAUCAUUUUUGAUGAUGAUUUUAUGGAAGAGAGGGAUGAAGAUUUGAGAUAUAGAGUGAGACUGAGAGAGAGAAUUUUGAGAGGAUGAGAAAGAUUUCUAGGGUUAGGGUUUUGUUUUAUAGGAAGAAGAAAAGAUAGAUAGAAAUAGAAAGCCCUAGGUUUAGAGAGAGAAAUAGAGAGGGAUUUCGGAGAAAGAAAGAGAAAAGAAAAAAGUUUUUAAAAUUUGAAAUCCAAAAAGUUUGUGUUUUUAUUAUCUUAACCAAACCGCUGCGACUUUUUGAACUUCGGUUGACAAAAGUUUGCCUUUCGCUCGACCGAACUUUAAAUUCGAUCGGCCGAACUUUUAGGAGUUCCUGCAGAAAGUUUGACAGAUAGACAACUUUGUGUUUUAGCCCUAAUGGUUCCAUUUUCUUGAUACCUAUAAGUCCUAAAUAUCAUAUAAAGUGUAUUAGAGCAUGAUUUGACUUAUGUUAGUGCUUGAUUCAAAAUUUGAUUACCCUACGCAAAUUUUGUAAGAAUUUAAGCAUAUAUAUAUCUAUGACAUGAAGCAUAUUUUAUAUUGUCGGAGAUAAAGUAUAUGAGAUACAUUUUAAUUUCGACUAUUCUUUUUCAAAUACAACUUAACUAGCAUUUAUAGAUUUAUUUAAGAAUCCAAAAGUAUCACAUUGGUUGAGACAUUUCAAGUUCACGUCAAAUAUAAAAAAAAUCUUUUCUCAUCAAAAGAUUUUGUGAAAAUGUUUGCUAAUUACUUGUAGGUAUGAAUAUAUUGAAGCUCAAUAUCAACUUUUUGGACAUGAUUUCUUAAAAAAUAUUAUCGAAUCUCAAUGUACUUUAUUCUUGAAUGUUGUAUGGAAUUCUUAGACAAAUUUAUAGCACUAGUGUUAUCAUAUUUGAUAGGAAUGUGAUCAAAAAAUAAACCAUAAUAUUUCAUUUGUUGUUUUAUCCAUAAAAUUUGAGCACAACAACUUUCGGCGGCCACGUAUUCAGCCUCGGCGGUUGAUAAGACAAUAGAGUUUUGUUUCUUCCUAAACCAGACACUAAGGAAUGUCCUAAAAAAUGCAAGUUGCUACUGUGUCUCCUAUUUACCUUUCACAGUGCCGGCAUAAUUGGCAUCGAAGAAACCAUUUAAUUUGUCACGACCCAAACUAUUUGUGGCAUGUGAGUCCACCCUUAGUAAAGUGUCAUUAUGACCGGUCAAUGAGGUUUCACUCAUAAGGGACUAACUCAAUUAGUUUAGAAAUUUUCCUACUAGGACAAGGUUUUUAUACCGAAUGGAAUAGUAUAGGGCAUAAAACUUAUUUAAAAUUAUCCAGAGUUGACGUGACAUACCAAAUAUACCCAAAUAAUUUUACUUAUUAUUGUAUAAUAUUUUACCACUACGAUUCGCGCCAUAAGAUCGGCACAACCGUCUAUCAAAAUUAAUAAUAUCAAACUAAACAUAUCCCUAUACUAAGUACAUAGCAUAGGACGUCAAAAAUCAACUAAGGUCAUCCACCUUUAGUCGUAUUUCACUUCUUUUUCAUUACUUGAAAUAUUAUGUACAACUAUAUCUUAAGCACUAGGCUAGUUUGAGUCAAGUUAUAUAAAACAUACUAUGUACAGUAAAUGAUUGGAUUCUUCUUCGAUUUUUCUUCUUUGCCAAAAUUCUUUCUUCCUUGCCUUCGAGAAAAUUGGCCAUUUUUGAACAUCUUAUUGAAUCUUCUUUUGAACAAUGUCAUUUUCUCAUCGCUAUCUUCAUCAUCUUUGAUUUCUUCAUUUAUUUGUGAUGAUGAAGUCUUGAAGACAAUUUUUCUUUUCUUGUUUCAUACUUUUAUCAUUACUCUUAAUGUGAUUCGCGUGUGUCAUGAGGGAGCUAAGUAAUUCAUUCAAGAUCCAUUUUGUAGGUCUUUUGCUUCGUCAAUGGUGGUCAUUUUGGUCCCACAUAUCUCUCUGGUAGAUACCUAAGAAUUUUUCUCACUAUUUUCACAUUAGUAUAGAUUUUUUCAAGAGAUUUUAGACAAUUAUUAUGUCGGUGCUAGUAAAUAUUUAAGAGAUUGUUUCAUUUGUUUCCAUUGAAUAAAUGGCUUAAGGUGGAGCCACUAUACCCAAACUGACAAACACCCAAGAUCUAAGAUCCAAAUCACCUAAUUACUACCUUUGGAAUACAACCGCUUGAGCUAAUAUUAAGUUGUUCAUCUUCAAUUUACAGACAAAUGUUUUCUAAUUAUGAUUCUUUUGCAAUUUUCUUAGGAAAAAUCUUAAAGUUGAUAAAAUAAGUAGUUGUAAAUAAAUAAAUUUAUCAUUCAUUCUCAAUUCCCAAAAAAUCAUUGUAAGAAGUUGUCAAUCUUGUCUCUAAAGUAAUCUAAUUUGAUCCAAUGUCAAAAGACCAUCUAAAUGUAAUAUUAACGAAUUGACUCCAUUGGUGUGAAAUAUUUUUUCACGAGGAUGGGCAAUAUGAAUUUCCCUACUGCUACUUACAUUGCGGAUCCCAUUCGGGGUAAUGGGUAAUGAACAAAAGGAUUAGAUGUUGGAUAGUAUAUAAUUAUGACGCUUACACAAAAUAUGUAACAAACAGGAUAAGUAGAGCUAAACGAAUUAAGCUGAUGGAAAGAUUUUGUUUUAGUGGAUUUUUCUCAUAAGUACGGCUUAAGCUGAGCAAGAUUUAUUUUAGUGAAUAUUUUUCAUAAGUAUGGCUGCUAGUGAUAAGUGGGGUUAUAAACGAAUUUAUCUUAGUGAACCUUUUUCGUGUUCUAAAUUAAGGUUUUAUUGAUGGAAGAUUAAGAAGAAGAAAGUGGGUGUACUACGAGUCUUGGGAUGUACUCUAAGGUAAGAGUAAAUGGUGAUAUUUAAGCAUUCUGGCUCCGUUUGGUAAUGCUUAAAAGUCAAGUUUUUUUUAAGUUUGUUAUUAAAAAGGCUCAGAUUUUUUGAUUUUUUUGCUUUUGUGGCUUUAUUUUAGUUAAACUAAGCAAAAAAGCAAAAACAAAAAAUAAAAAGCCAACUUUGAUUGAUUUUUUUGCUUAUUUUAAACAAAAAAAUAAAAAAAAACUAAAAAAAAAUGAUGCCAAACAGAACUUUUAUAUUGAUGAUUCGAUAUUUUUCUGCCAAGUAGCUGGUGAAAUUAGAUUGUAGUUAAGCAACACACGCAUGUCUAAUCAACUGCACAUGCAUGUCUAGUUGGCUGAAAUGCAUCAAACUUCUAACAAAAGUUUAAGGAAAUUCAUUAAAAGUAAUAAGACACCAAAAUCAAGGCAAAACUAAGUUCAAAAGUUAAGUAACAGUUGUGAAACAUUACACAUACUAAGCAUAUAUUACAGGACCGUGCUAAUUGCAACCGACUCAUUUGUGAACGGUGGUUAAAGGUGUAUUGAUUAAAAAGAAAUUAAAACUUCAAUAAGUAUUUAUACAUUUUGAGUGCACUUACAAAAUUUAUGUACUUUUUCAUUUAUUUCUAUAUAUUUGACUUAUUUCCUCUUUGGGCCGAUGAUUAAUUAUUUUAGUUAUAUUAAAAAUCUAUUUUGGUCAUUAAUUAGUCGGUUUUCAAAGUCCAGAAUAAUUGUAACAAAUGAAUAUAAUGUUUUAAUUUU